AAUUGGAGGGCAAGUCUGGUGCCAGCAGCCGUGGUAAUUCCAGCUCCAAUAGCGUAUAUUAAAGUUGUUGCAGUUAAAAAGCUCGUAGUUGAAUUUCGGGAUUGACACAUCGGUCGUGCCUUAAGGGGUAUGAACUGGUGUAGUCAAUUUCUCACCUUCUGGAGAACCGCGAUGCCCUUAAUUGGGUGUCACGGGGAACCAGGACCUUUACUUUGAAAAAAUUAGAGUGUUUAAAGCAGGCAUUUUGCUUGAAUACAUUAGCAUGGAAUAAUAAAAUAGGACGGCAUGAUUCUAUUUUGUUGGUUUCUAGGAUCACCGUAAUGAUUAAUAGGGAUAGUUGGGGGCAUUAGUAUUCAAUUGUCAGAGGUGAAAUUCUUGGAUUUAUUGAAGACUAACUACUGCGAAAGCAUUUGCCAAGGAUGUUUUCAUUAAUCAAGAACGAAAGUUAGGGGAUCGAAGACGAUCAGAUACCGUCGUAGUCUUAACCAUAAACUAUGCCGACUAGGAAUCAGACGAUGUUAAUUUUUUAAUGACUCGUUUGGCACCUUACGGGAAACCAAAGUGU
rnacentral:rRNA from 1 species